rnacentral:precursor_RNA from 7 species
UUAAUAUGGUUGCCUCUGUUAGGGACUGUCUUGAGAUAAGACAGAGGAUAUUAAGCCUGAAAUAAAAAUAAUAUCCUUCUUUCUUGUCUUUUAGUCUCACCUCAAGGAUAUUCAAAGUGCAUU